rnacentral:rRNA from 1 species
AGAACGAACGCUGGCGGCGGGGUUUAGGCAUGCAAGUCGAGCGAGAAAAGCGCAAGCUGAGUACAGCGGCGUAAGGGUGAGUAAUGGGUAGUCAACGUACCGGGCAGACGCGAAUAAUUUCCCGAAAGGGAUUGUAAUGCGCGAUGAGAUCACGGGCUCCACGGGGGCUUGGGAUCGAAAGGUCGGGGAUCCGUUCGGGACCUGGCGCU